rnacentral:rRNA from 1 species
GAUGAACGCUGGCGGCGUGCCUAACACAUGCAAGUCGAGCGAACCCUUCGGGGUGAGCGGCGGACGGGUGAGUAACGCGUGGGUAACCUGCCCUGUACACACGGAUAACAUACCGAAAGGUAUGCUAAUACGGGAUAACAUAUGAGAGUCGCAUGGCUUUUGUAUCAAAGCUCCGGCGGUACAGGAUGGACCCGCGUCUGAUUAGCUAGUUGGUAAGGUAACGGCUUACCAAGGCAACGAUCAGUAGCCGACCUGAGAGGGUGAUCGGCCACAUUGGAACUGAGACACGGUCCAAACUCCUACGGGAGGCAGCAGUGGGGAAUAUUGCACAAUGGGCGAAAGCCUGAUGCAGCAACGCCGCGUGAGCGAUGAAGGCCUUCGGGUCGUAAAGCUCUGUCCUCAAGGAAGAUAAUGACGGUACUUGAGGAGGAAGCCCCGGCUAACUACGUGCCAGCAGCCGCGGUAAUACGUAGGGGGCUAGCGUUAUCCGGAAUUACUGGGCGUAAAGGGUGCGUAGGCGGUCUUUCAAGCCAGAAGUGAAAGGCUACGGCUCAACCGUAGUAAGCUUUUGGAACUGUAGGACUUGAGUGCAGGAGAGGAGAGUGGAAUUCCUAGUGUAGCGGUGAAAUGCGUAGAUAUUAGGAGGAACACCAGUAGCGAAGGCGGCUCUCUGGACUGUAACUGACGCUGAGGCACGAAAGCGUGGGGAGCAAACAGGAUUAGAUACCCUGGUAGUCCACGCCGUAAACGAUGAGUACUAGGUGUCGGGGGUUACCCCCCUCGGUGCCGCAGCUAACGCAUUAAGUACUCCGCCUGGGAAGUACGCUCGCAAGAGUGAAACUCAAAGGAAUUGACGGGGACCCGCACAAGUAGCGGAGCAUGUGGUUUAAUUCGAAGCAACGCGAAGAACCUUACCUAAGCUUGACAUCCCAUUGACCUCUCCCUAAUCGGAGAUUUCCCUUCGGGGACAGUGGUGACAGGUGGUGCAUGGUUGUCGUCAGCUCGUGUCGUGAGAUGUUGGGUUAAGUCCCGCAACGAGCGCAACCCUUGCCUUUAGUUGCCAGCAUUAAGUUGGGCACUCUAGAGGGACUGCCGAGGAUAACUCGGAGGAAGGUGGGGAUGACGUCAAAUCAUCAUGCCCCUUAUGCUUAGGGCUACACACGUGCUACAAUGGGUGGUACAGAGGGUUGCCAAGCCGUGAGGUGGAGCUAAUCCCUUAAAGCCAUUCUCAGUUCGGAUUGUAGGCUGAAACUCGCCUACAUGAAGCUGGAGUUACUAGUAAUCGCAGAUCAGAAUGCUGCGGUGAAUGCGUUCCCGGGUCUUGUACACACCGCCCGUCACACCACGGGAGUUGGGGGCGCCCGAAGCCGGUUAGCUAACCUUUUAGGAAGCGGCCGUCGAAGGUGAAACCAAUGACUGGGGUGAAGUCGUAACAAGGUAGCCGUAUCGGAAGGUGCGGCUGGAUCACCUCCUUUCUAAGGAGUAAUUACCUACUGUUUAAUUUUGAGAGUUUAUUGAUUCUCAAAAUUAGUACUUUAAGCAACGGGACAUGAACGUAUGUGAAUGGACGUUGGCGACGUACUGUUAGUACUUUGAAAACUGCAUAACAUUUAGUGAUGAUUAAAUAAACCAAUUAUAAGAGAAGACAACUCUUUAAAAAAUAACACUUUUAAUAACUGGUCAAGUUAUUAAGGGCGCAGGGCGGAUGCCUUGGCACUAAGAGCCGAUGAAGGACGCGAUAAGCUGCGAUAAGCUUCGGGGAGUUGCACGUAAACUUUGAUCCGAAGAUUUCCGAAUGAGGAAACUCACUUAGAGUAAUGUCUAAGUAUCAUUAAGUGAAUACAUAGCUUAAUGAGGGGAACCCGGGGAACUGAAACAUCUAAGUACCCGGAGGAAAAGAAAGAAAUUCGAUUCCGUAAGUAGCGGCGAGCGAACGCGGAAUAGCCCAAACCAGUGAAGUUUUCUUUGCUGGGGUUGCGGACACAUCAUCAACGAAGAGGUAUCGUAAACGAAGAGAGUUGGAAAGCUCCGCUAUAAAGUGUAAUAGCCACGUAGUUGAAACGAGAAGACUUUAGAUGUGAUCCAGAGUACCACGGGACACGUGAAACCCUGUGGGAAGCAGGAGGGACCAUCCUCCAAGGCUAAAUACUACUUAGUGACCGAUAGCGCAU